GCCAGCCCGCUCAGAACUCAAGGAAUUGACGGGGGCCCGGCACAAGCGGUGGAGCAUGUGGUUUAAUUCGACGCACGCGCAGAACCUACCUGGGCUUGACAUCCCGAUCGCAUCCCAUGGAAACAUGGGAGUCAGUUCGGCUGGAUCGGUGACAGGUGCUGCAUGGCUGUCGUCAGCUCGUGUCGUGAGAUGUUGGGUUAAGUCCCGCAACGAGCGCAACCCUUGUCAUUAGUUGCUACGAAAGGGCACUCUAAUGAGACUGCCGGUGACAAACCGGAGGAAGGUGGGGACGACGUCAAGUCCUCAUGGCCCUUAUGGGUAGGGCUUCACACGUCAUACAAUGGUCGGAACAGAGGGUUGCCAACCCGCGAGGGGGAGCUAAUCCCAGAAAACCGAUCGUAGUCCGGAUUGCACUCUGCAACUCGAGUGCGUGAAGUCGGAAUCGCUAGUAAUCGCGGAUCAGCAUGUCGCGGUGUAAUACGUUCCCGGGUCUU
rnacentral:rRNA from 1 species